ACGGCUCAGUAACACGUGGGUAACCUGCCUCAAAGAGGGGGAUAGCCUCCCGAAAGGGAGAUUAAUACCGCAUAACAUUAGUUUUUCGCAUGGGAAACUAAUUAAAGGAGUAAUCCGCUUUGAGAUGGACCCGCGGCGCAUUAGCUAGUUGGUGAGGUAACGGCUCACCAAGGCGACGAUGCGUAGCCGACCUGAGAGGGUGAUCGGCCACAUUGGAACUGAGACACGGUCCAGACUCCUACGGGGGGCAGCAGUGGGGAAUAUUGCACAAUGGGCGAAAGCCUGAUGCAGCAACGCCGCGUGAGUGAUGAAGGCCUUCGGGUUGUAAAGCUCUGUCUUUUGGGACGAUAAUGACGGUACCAAAGGAGGAAGCCACGGCUAACUACGUGCCAGCAGCCGCGGUAAUACGUAGGUGGCAAGCGUUGUCCGGAUUUACUGGGCGUAAAGGAUGCGUAGGCGGACUUUUAAGUGAGAUGUGAAAACCCCGGGCUCAACUUGGGGACUGCAUUUCAAACUGGAAGUCUAGAGUGCGGGAGAGGAAAGUGGAAUUCCUAGUGUAGCGGUGAAAUGCGUAGAGAUUAGGAAGAACACCAGUGGCGAAGGCGACUUUCUGGACCGUAACUGACGCUGAGGCAUGAAAGCGUGGGUAGCAAACAGGAUUAGAUACCCUGGUAGUCCACGCCGUAAACGAUGAGUACUAGGUGUAGGAGGUAUCGACCCCUUCUGUGCCGCAGUUAACACAAUAAGUACUCCGCCUGGGAAGUACGAUCGCAAGAUUAAAACUCAAAGGAAUUGGCGGGGGAGCAC
rnacentral:rRNA from 1 species